UACGUAGGGUGCAAGCGUUAAUCGGAACUACUGGGCGUAAAGCGUGCGCAGGCGGUUUUGUAAGUCUGUCGUGAAAGCCCCGGGCUCAACCUGGGAAUUGCGAUGGAGACUGCAAGGCUUGAAUCUGGCAGAGGGGGGUAGAAUUCCACGUGUAGCAGUGAAAUGCGUAGAGAUGUGGAGGAACACCGAUGGCGAAGGCAGCCCCCUGGGUCAAGAUUGACGCUCAUGCACGAAAGCGUGGGGAGCAAACAGG
rnacentral:rRNA from 1 species